rnacentral:rRNA from 1 species
CGGAGGGUGCAAGCGUUAUCCGGAUUUAUUGGGUUUAAAGGGUGCGUAGGCGGUAUUUUAAGUCAGUGGUGAAAUGUUGCAGCUUAACUGUAGAAUUGCCAUUGAAACUGAAGUACUUGAGUUAUCUUGAGGUAGGCGGAAUGUGUAGUGUAGCGGUGAAAUGCUUAGAUAUUACACAGAACACCGAUUGCGAAGGCAGCUUACUAAGGAUAAACUGACGCUCAGGCACGAAAGCGUGGGGAUCAAACAGGAUUAGAUACCCUGGUAGUCCACGCCCUAAACGAUGAUUACUCGAUGUGUGCAAUACACCGUACGCGUCUGAGCGAAAGCAUUAAGUAAUCCACCUGGGGAGUACGACCGCAAGGUUG